GUAAAUAAAAGAUGUCAAAUCGUCAAAGGAGAAUACAUGGAAGACAGGUGUUUUGCUACAAAUGUAGGAUCUUAAUUUGAGACAGUUUACUACAGCAGAAAAAUUAUGUGGAUUAUAAUUAACAUUUUAAAUUGGAAAGUGGACUUCAAAAGUGGAAACUUCAGAAGCCUUUUAAAACAUCAAAUACACUACAAGUUUUAGUUUUCCUGUAACAGGGUGAUCAAAUUCAGAUCCUACAUCUGUACAGAGAUGAUGUCUUCAUCUGAAAAAGGUAGUUUGAGUUAUUAGCAAUGAAGUUGCAACUGUCAGCUGCUGUAAACCUAAGUGACUGGAUGUUAUAGACCCCAAUCUGAACAGUUUCUUCCCCGUGGUUACAGCCUUUAGCUCUAUGCUCAGUCUACCUAGUUCAAUAUAUUGUUGUACGUAAACUUUGUGCAAACUCCACCGCCUGUAUUCUGUCUCUUAAUGUUUUCUUUCACUAGCAGCACCAUAUCACCAUGUUAAAUAAUGUGUACAGAUGUAGGAUCUUUCCAACUCUGAGGACAUGUCAUUGUGAUGUCAUUUAUUACAUUUCAACCUGUUGAUAAAGGCAACUAGAAGACUGAACCCAGAAGACAACUCUAAAUCAACACUUACUGAUAUUAUCCUAAAAUCCUUUCACUCGUAUUAUUGUGUCUCUUUGUUCAACAAAUGUCUGGCAGCCUGUGAUGUUAAUAUAGUUGAAAACAGCAGGCAGGGAGGUCAACACCCUACAGGCAGCCUGUGAUGUUAAUAUAGUUGAAAACAGCAGGCAGGGAGGUCAACACCCUACAGGCAGCCUGUGCUGUUAAUAUAGUUGAAAACAGCAGGCAGGGAGGUCAACACCCUACAGGCAGCCUGUGAUGUUAAUAUAGUUGAAAACAGCAGGCAGGGAGGUCAACACCCUACAGGCAGCCUGUGAUGUUAAUAUAGUUGAAAACAGCAGACAGGGAGGUCAACACCCUACAGGCAGCCUGUGAUGUUAAUAUAGUUGAAAACAGCAGACAGGGAGGUCAACACCCUACAGGCAGCCUGUGAUGUUAAUAUAGUUGAAAACAGCAGGCAGGGAGGUCAACACCCUACAGGCAGCCUGUGAUGUUAAUAUAGUUGAAAACAGCAGGCAGGGAGGUCAACACCCUACAGGCAGCCUGUGAUGUUAAUAUAGUUGAAAACAGCAGGCAGGGAGGUCAACACCCUACAGGCAGCCUGUGAUGUUAAUAUAGUUGAAAACAGCAGACAGGGAGGUCAACACCCUACAGGCAGCCUGUGAUGUUAAUAUAGUUGAAAACAGCAGGCAGGGAGGUCAACACCCUACAGGCAGCCUGUGAUGUUAAUAUAGUUGAAAACAGCAGGCAGGGAGGUCAACACCCUACAGGCAGCCUGUGAUGUUAAUAUAGUUGAAAACAGCAGGCAGGGAGGUCAACACCCUACAGGCAGCCUGUGAUGUUAAUAUAGUUGAAAACAGCAGACAGGGAGGUCAACACCCUACAGGCAGCCUGUGAUGUUAAUAUAGUUGAAAACAGCAGACAGGGAGGUCAACACCCUACAGGCAGCCUGUGAUGUUAAUAUAGUUGAAAACAGCAGACAGGGAGGUCAACACCCUACAGGCAGCCUGUGAUGUUAAUAUAGUUGAAAACAGCAGACAGGGAGGUCAACACCCUACAGGCAGCCUGUGCUGUUAAUAUAGUUGAAAACAGCAGGCAGGGAGGUCAACACCCUACAGGCAGCCUGUGAUGUUAAUAUAGUUGAAAACAGCAGGCAGGGAGGUCAACACCCUACAGGCAGCCUGUGAUGUUAAUAUAGUUGAAAACAGCAGGCAGGGAGGUCAACACCCUACAGGCAGCCUGUGCUGUUAAUAUAGUUGAAAACAGCAGGCAGGGAGGUCAACACCCUACAGGCAGCCUGUGCUGUUAAUAUAGUUGAAAACAGCAGGCAGGGAGGUCAACACCCUACAGGCAGCCUGUGCUGUUAAUAUAGUUGAAAACAGCAGGCAGGGAGGUCAACACCCUACAGGCAGCCUGUGCUGUUAAUAUAGUUGAAAACAGCAGGCAGGGAGGUCAACACCCUACAGGCAGCCUGUGCUGUUAAUAUAGUUGAAAACAGCAGGCAGGGAGGUCAACACCCUACAGGCAGCCUGUGCUGUUAAUAUAGUUGAAAACAGCAGGCAGGGAGGUCAACACCCUACAGGCAGCCUGUGCUGUUAAUAUAGUUGAAAACAGCAGGCAGGGAGGUCAACACCCUACAGGCAGCCUGUGCUGUUAAUAUAGUUGAAAACAGCAGACAGGGAGGUCAACACCCUACAGGCAGCCUGUGCUGUUAAUAUA